rnacentral:misc_RNA from 1 species
CCAAUAGCGUAUAUUAAAGUUGUUGCAGUUAAAAAGCUCGUAGUUGAACUUCGGGGUCUACCCAUUGGUCAGGCUUAAUUGUCUGCACUGGUGAGAUGGAUCUCUACCUUCUGAGGAACUUUCAUGCCAUUUAUUUGGUGUGGUUGGAAAUCAGGACUGUUACUUUGAAAAAAUUAGAGUGUUUAAAGCAGACUAUCGUCUGAAUACAUUAGCAUGGAAUAAUGAAAUAUGACGGACUGAUUCUAUUUCGUUGGUUUCUAGGAUCACCGUAAUGAUUAAUAUGGAUAGUUGGGAGCAUUAGUAUUCAAUUGUCAGAGGUGAAAUUCUUGGAUUUAUUGAAGACUAACUACUGCGAAAGCAUUUGCCAAGGAUAUUUUCAUUAAUCAAGAACGAAAGUUAGGGGAUCGAAGACGAUCAGAUACCGUCGUAGUCUUAACCAUAAACUAUGCCGACUAGGGAUCGGACGAAGUUAAUUUAUAAUGACGCGUUCGGCACCUUACG